rnacentral:rRNA from 1 species
AUUGAACGCUGGCGGCAGGCUUAACACAUGCAAGUCGAGCGGGGUGAUGGUGCUUGCACUAUCACUUAGCGGCGGACGGGUGAGUAAUGCUUAGGAAUCUGCCUAUUAGUGGGGGACAACAUCUCGAAAGGGAUGCUAAUACCGCAUACGUCCUACGGGAGAAAGCAGGGGAUCACUUGUGACCUUGCGCUAAUAGAUGAGCCUAAGUCGGAUUAGCUAGUUGGUGGGGUAAAGGCCUACCAAGGCGACGAUCUGUAGCGGGUCUGAGAGGAUGAUCCGCCACACUGGGACUGAGACACGGCCCAGACUCCUACGGGAGGCAGCAGUGGGGAAUAUUGGACAAUGGGGGGAACCCUGAUCCAGCCAUGCCGCGUGUGUGAAGAAGGCCUUAUGGUUGUAAAGCACUUUAAGCGAGGAGGAGGCUCUUUUGGUUAAUACCCAAGAUGAGUGGACGUUACCCGCAGAAGAAGCACCGGCUAACUCCGUGCCAGCCGCCGCGGUAA